rnacentral:rRNA from 4 species
UCUGGUAAUAAUGGCGGAGGGGUUCCACGCGUACCCAUCCCGAACACGACCGUUAAGCCCUCCAGCGCCAAUGGUACUUGGACCGCAGGGUCCUGGGAGAGUAGGACGUUGCCAGGC